AUGAACCGCGUGGACUUCGCACUGGGGGGCACCAACCCGCCGCACAUCCAUCCCCGUGCCACCGAGAUCGGCAUCGUGAUGAAAGGUGAGCUCCUUGUUGGAAUCCUUGGCAGCCUUGACUCCGGGAACAAGCUCUACUCCAGGGUGGUGCACGCUGGGGAGACGUUCCUCAUCCCACGCGGCCUCAUGCACUUCCAGUUCAACGUCGGUAAGACAGAGGCCUCCAUGGUCGUCUCCUUCAACAGCCAGAACCCCGGCAUCGUCUUCGUGGCACUCACGCUCUUCGGCUCCAAUCCACCCAUCCCAACGCCGGUGCUCACCAAGGCGCUCCGGGUGGAGGCCGGGGUCGUGGAACUACUCAAGUCCAAGUUCGCCGCUGGGUUUUAA
rnacentral:rRNA from 1 species